AUGCUUUUCCAAGGAAAGCAAGUAUGAAGUAGACAAAUUCGAAUCGACUUAGCUUGGUAGCGUUCUGAACACUGGGUUCUACACUGGUGGUGGAAGUUUUAUAGAUAUAUACUUCUAGAAACACUUGAGAGCUUAUGAUGAUUUAAAAUGGCCAGUAUGGAAGCUGGAUGUAUUUAAUACGGGGAGUGGGGCCAGCACUCAACUGUGCUAUUUAAUCACAAUUCCCGACAAUUUAUAACUUGCUGUACCAAAAGCACAUGACUUGCUUACCUCAAUGCCUCCACAAAUCCACAUUGGAUAUCAAAUUAUUGGCCCUUUUCUCAGGUAAUGAGACGAACAACUGACGGCCUCUCCACAUUGUAAAGAGGCAUGCACCCUUAGCUGGACCCUUUUUUCCAACAGCUUUCCUCAUUUGGAAUAGUGUACACAUAAAAGAUGCAAGUCA
rnacentral:lncRNA from 1 species